AGGGUUUAAGGUAUUCGUCUGCCGCAUCACGCAGAUCUCUCGCUGUUCUUUCAUUCCUUGUUUUAACUCUUCCUCUGAUUGUUUUUGUUUUUUGAGUUUAUUUAAAGUCGAUUCGAAGGCCUAAUAUUGCAAUUGUUUGCUGCUUGUUUUAUGCUGCAGCAAGGAAUCUAUCCUUAGGCCAGAUUCAUUUCAUCCUUUUAGCUCCGAUGAUCUUCGUAUUCUUCUAAGAUUUUUCGGUGACAAGGUUGAUACAUUUCUUCUCCCCUUUGACACCUCAGUUUAAAAAAUUGAAUUUCGCGUCUAUAUUUCUUUUUAAAGGAUAACGUUUGAUUGAUGUCGAUUCUAGAUCUGUAUUCAUGUAAAUUCAAUUUUGAUCCGUUUCCUGCAUGAUGUUGGAUGAUGAAAAGAAUCAGACGGAUUCCCAUUGAUUUAUAAAGAUGAUAUCUUAACCAGCUACUUCUGACAUAUCAUGCUCUCUCACAGUAAGUUCAUUUGUUUUCUGAUUUUGUUAAUUUCUAAAAGGAUUUGCUCCUUUUAAAGAAAAAUAAUGAUUUUUGAUCCUGUAAUAUGAGUACAAGAAUGGAUGCUCUUUGAUGGGAUGAACUUUAUUUGUUGAUCUUUAACUAGGUAAUGCUUUUAAUGGUUUUGUUUUUUGUUUUUGUCCAGUUCAAGGAUUUUUCCUUAUAUUUUUCAAGACAAUGCUCCCUAGCCUAUGAAGUAAUAACAUUAUUUGCUAUUCUUGAUGGGAUAAAACCCUAUGUGAUGAUCCUUAUCCACCAAGAUCUCUGAGGCUAUUUCCUUUCUUAUUUCGAAUGAAAUAACUAGGUUUUUUUAUUUUUGAUUUCAAGUAAAGCAUUAUGGACAUAAUCUUCUUAUUUCGAAUGAAACAUUUUAUUUUAUUUUAUUUUACUCAUGUUUUGAUUGAAACUAGUUAAUGGAUUAAUCUCUUUUAAAAAUAAAUAUUAAUAAUAUUUAAAUUUUAGAAUUUUGUUGAUAUGCAUAUUGGAUUUGGUUUUAUAGUUUACAAUUUAUUUGUCUCACUAAAAGUAAUUUUAAAUCGGCCACAAGUGUGAUGCUUGGAGCUAUUCCUGAGGAAAGAUCUUUGGGACCUCUUGUUCUGGUUCCCUUUUGGUCUAUUCUGUAAUUGACUUGUUGGAUCCUGUGAUAUCUUUUGGGUUUAUCUUUUUAUCUAGGUUGCAAUUUGAGUCAGGACUGUCUUCUUUGCUUGGCACCUGGAGACCCUUCCACAUCAGGCGGCCGGUUCUGAUUCAAAUUACGAUUUAGAUAUAAGAGAACCUGUAAUCAAUUGUGGUUGGAAUUUGACUGCUGUCUGAUGUGCUAUUACAGAGUGGAUUAGGAGGUUUCCAGGACAAGAGGUUCCUACUUAAUUCCUGUGUGGGUGUUUUUUAUCGUCCAGAAAAGAAAAAAGCAGGUUGAAGGAGGCUGUGCAUCGUUGGCUUAUGAUCUGAUCUACAAUGCUUCUCCUAACAGCUUCAUCAACUGAAACUCUUUCUGGCAUUCUAAAUGCACAGUUCAAUUCCAGAAAACUCUCAACCGACCUUUCCCCAGCUCGAAAAGUUUUAAGGCAAUUCCUACAUUGUACUGGAAGAUUAUAGCUGCUAAGUUUUGCAACAAGAUUCUGAUCGAACGACGCUUUAGUAAUCUUCAGAUGGUUAUUAAACAAGCUGGGUUUACUACCACCAUGCAAAAAUUGGCACCCCUAAACAACGCUGGUGGCUGCUGAAUUCCUUUGCAUCCUUGUGUGCCUCGGCUCUCCCUCUGAGAGGAAAAGAAUUGGUACAAUGAGUGAGACUUUGAUUCCUUGAUAAGAAUGUCUUAUAAAAUACAAAGCUGGUGAUAGAGAUCCCCUCCACCAAUUUGCUUUCUUACCUGAUUUGUUGCUUCUUAAUGGACCAUUUGUGACGUAUUCAAAAAUGAGAUAUAAUCUGCCUACACUUGAAUCAUCGAUGUAA